CAUUCGUCCUCAGUGCAGGGGAUAGUCCUGGACUUGGGCUCCUGACUCUUAUUUGGCAGCACAACUUUUUAUCUCGGACACACACUUUCGGUGGUACAAAUUAAUCUACAAGGAGAGACACUGCGUUGCCGCUGGCAAAGAAACCUUCCUUUUGUAGUAGUAGUGACUAAUUUACACGCCUGCCUCCGCUCUCUUUCUAGCCUUCUAUUCACAAGCGACAUAUCAAGGGUGGUCGAAUGCCAGCAGAACAGCCUGUCUUUGGGAAAGAUAUUAGCUUUUUUUUCACCCUUGCUUGCCUCUCUACUUGUGCUGGCACAGGAAGCCUGUCAAUACAACCUCCAUCGUUACCUUAUUUUUCCUCAUUGACUUUCCUCCCUCUACAGGUCCCUUCAACCCUUCAGUUUGUUCCUGAUAAAUAUCUUGACACCGAGAAAGGCGCUAACAGUAUUCUGCAACCCUGACUGGACUCGUGGCCCUAUUGUGUUGCAUUCCCAAGCAGGUAUUUCCUGCAUCCAGACAUUUACAGUCAAAUCGAGGCAUUCGUGGAUGUGUGAAGGAGCAAGCGAAAAAACAAACAAACAAACAAACAUAAAAGCAUGCAUGCAUUGUUACAGCAAUCAGCUACGAAUAAGAAAUGUUUGAAGCCUUUUUGUUUCACAAUGACAAUGAUGAACGAGAUGUUACUAAUGUGAUAUUAAUCUCUGCUGCCUUAGUGUAGGAAGUCUGUUAUCUUGGAGAUGUUGGUAGAAAAGAGAGAGAAUAUCGAUCACCUUCAUGCUACUUCUGACAUAAGUAGGUAGCAAAUGCAAAGAAACUAUUUUCCUCUCAGUUUGGCUGUUAAACUCCGUGAAACAUAUGAGCUGAGAAAAGCACUUUGUUUUCACUGCAUCCUGUAGGUUAGAUUGAUUUCUGACUUUUGGCAGCAUGAGAAGGGAGGCCAGUCUAUAGUCCAUUUGCACAAUGUAUCAACAAAGCUAGCUAGUUUAAAAAUGAGUCUGUAAUAAAAAGGAAUAAAAUGUAACGCA
rnacentral:lncRNA from 1 species